AUUGAACGCUGGCGGCAGGCCUAACACAUGCAAGUCGAGCGGAUGAAGGGAGCUUGCUCCUGGAUUCAGCGGCGGACGGGUGAGUAAUGCCUAGGAAUCUGCCUGGUAGUGGGGGAUAACGUCCGGAAACGGGCGCUAAUACCGCAUACGUCCUGAGGGAGAAAGUGGGGGAUCUUCGGACCUCACGCUAUCAGAUGAGCCUAGGUCGGAUUAGCUAGUUGGUGGGGUAAAGGCCUACCAAGGCGACGAUCCGUAACUGGUCUGAGAGGAUGAUCAGUCACACUGGAACUGAGACACGGUCCAGACUCCUACGGGAGGCAGCAGUGGGGAAUAUUGGACAAUGGGCGAAAGCCUGAUCCAGCCAUGCCGCGUGUGUGAAGAAGGUCUUCGGAUUGUAAAGCACUUUAAGUUGGGAGGAAGGGCAGUAAGUUAAUACCUUGCUGUUUUGACAUUACCAACAGAAUAAGCACCGGCGAACUUCGU
rnacentral:rRNA from 1 species